ACCUGGGUCCCUGGUGCGGUGAAGCGGCAGCUCUACCAGCCGUGCCACCUGAGAUCUUGGAGAUGAUAUAAAAGAGGACAAUAACGCUGUAGAUUAGAUCAACAUUUUCAAUAGAUUAUCCAGCUAGAUAGUCUUUUUCUGAAAGAUUCGCUUAUAAGAGUGGGAAGAGUCAAAACUGGAAUAGCCCGUUUUUUAGGGAAUGUUUAGUUACUAGGGAUUGCAUGGACCAAGAGUUGAGGCAUGAUCUUUUACCCAGAGUGGACAUGUCCAAGACCAGGGGCAUUACUUUAAGGUGAGAGGGGUAAACUUUAAAGGAGAUGUGCAGGGAAAGUUAUUUUACACAAAACGCACUGACUGGGUUGAUAGUGGAGGCAGAUGUGAUAGUGAUAGGCUUUUAGAUAGACUCAUGAAUGUGCAGGGAAUGGAGGGAUAUGGAUCAAGUAUAGGCCAAGGAGAUUAACUUGGCGUCAUGUUCGGCACGGACAACAUGGGCCCAAGAGCCUGUUCCUGCACUGUACAAGAUUCAAGAGUCAAAAGUGUUUAACUGUCGUAUGGGCGGCGCGUUGGUGCAGCGGUAGAGUUGCUGCCUUACAGCGCCAGAGACCCGGGUCCGAUCCUGAAUACGGGUGCCGUCUAUACAGAGUUUACACAUUCUUCCCGUGACCACGUGGGUUUUCUUCAGGUGCUCCAGUUUCCUCCCACACUCCAAAGACGUACAGGUUUGUUGGUUAAUUGGCUUCAGUAAAAAUUGUAACUUGUAGGAUAGUGCUCGUGUACGGGGAUCGCUGGUUGGCGUGGGCUCGGCGGGCCGAGUGGCCUGUUUCCACACUGUAUCUCUAACCCAAAUCUAAACUAAAAACGUAGUGAAAAUGGAACAAUAACAUUCUUCCUUGCAGCAGCCAGUAAGUAAGCACCUGCCUGUCAACCUGGUGUCAUUAUCUGCAGGGCUUUGCAAUUGCUGCUCUAAGUUUUGUGGGCUCCUUGCUACGACAUAUUUUCCUCUUGUUCUGUGGCCUCAUUAGUAUUCUCUCCUUCAGCUGUGCCAGGUGUGAACGAACGGGGGUGAGAGGUCAGAUUCUCGACACAAACGCCUCCGGUGUGGCGCACGUGCGGCUCUGACAGGGAGGAGCCGAAGGUAGACCUCGCCGACCUCAUCGGGAGAGCAAGAUCACCAAGUGAUUGUUCACUGACAGCAGAACCCGGGGAGGAAGACAGAAGCCGUUUCUGCAGGGCCUGCAUCGAUCUUGCCCCAACGAGCUGCAGGAGUAGUUCUUGACGCUCAGCUGGAGGAGACUGCUUCUCAGCAACACCCUUCAAACUCACAGGACCACCGCCCUCCCCUCCUCCUCAACUGUCCGCAUCUGCACCUGGACACAUCUGGAUUCAUUGAAUAAUCCUUGUCAUCGCAAAGAACUGAACAAUUGAAUUUCCUGUUUUAACCAAGAGGCAGAGGCAUCAGAUGAGCACAAGGCGUGGGUCACGUGACCAUCAUCCCAGGUAGGACUGACAAUUGGCCAAGGCAACUUUUUAUUUUGGCAUCAUUGCAGGAGGCAGCGUGAGAGGAGGUGCAGUCACACAAAGGGUGGUGGGUGUAUGGAACAAGCUGCCAGAGGAGGUAGUUGAGGCUGGGAUUACCCCAACGUUUAAGAAGCAGUUGGACAGGUACAUGGAUAGGACACGUUUGGAGGGAUAUGGGGCCAAAAUGCAGGCAGGUGGGACUAGUAUAGCUGAAACAUGUUGGCCGGUGUGAGCAAGUUGGACUGAAGGGGCUGUUUCCAUGCUGUAUCACUCUAUGACUCUAUGACUCCAAGGUGACUGAUGGAGUUAGUCGGUAGCCUGUUCCCUGUGGCGGAGAGAUUGAGAAAGGGGAAAGUGGUGCCAGUUGUAGUCCAAGUGAUUUUGAGGACAGGGCGGAAGUCGAGGAAAUCAAGGAGUUUUCAUAAAGUCUGAAGAAGGGUCCCCUCCCCCUGUGUUUUUAUAGCUACCAGAAGAAGAAAUUAACCUACAAACCUGCACGACUUGUGGAUGUGGGGGGAAACCGGAGCACCCGGAGGAAACCCACGUGGUCACAGGGAGAAGGUGUAAACUCCGUACAGACAGACAGCACUCAAGGUCAGGAUAGAACAACCCAGGUCUCUGGCGCUGUGAGGCAGCAGCCCUACCAGCUGCACCACUGUGCAGCCCUAUAUCCCUCCAAUCCAUGCACACCAGGGACUCUGAGAUGUAUUUCAAUAACUGUCUGGGAUUUGCACAUAAAUUUGCAUCAAUUAAUUCCUUUAUGCAGUUUUGUCUUUAACAAUCCACAACUGAUUUAAGGCCUGGUGCCUUCAGAGUGGUGUUUACAGCCAGUGAGGAUAGUUUGUGUGCAGCAAGCAGGAUGUUACAUCUGUCAGCCUGCGUGAGGCAGUGAGACGGCAGGACACGGUUAUAAAAACACGGUUUAAAGAGAAACCCUCAUCUCCAGCAGUUUACGACAUUCCAUUCCAGAUGUUGAAAUGUUCUCCAGAUGUUUUCUUCACCAUUUCAUGCCAACGGCGCUCAGUAAAUCUGCCUUAAAUUUAAAAAUCACUUCCUCUAUUGUCUGUGGAAAGCAAUUUGAACUAAACUCCGCCAUUAAAUAAAGACUCAAUAGGAGUGGCAUUAAUUUUUAACGUCUAGCAUAGAUUAGAGAUUUAGCAUGGAAGCAGGCCCUUCUGCCCAUCCAGUCCACUCUGACCAUCGAUGACCCGUUCACACUCGUUCUAUGUCACACAAAGUGUAUGGACUGAGCUGCCAGAGGAGGUAAUUGAGGCAGCUACUAUUGCAAUGCUUAAGAAACAUUUAGACAGGUACAUGGGUAGGAUAGGUUUAGAGGGAUGGGACUAGAGUAGAUGGACAUGUUGGUCUGCAUGGGCAAGUCCGUCUGAAGGGGCCUGUUUCCACACUAUUACUCUACAACUCUCUCUCUCUCUCUAAAUGGAAGAACCCUUUUCCUGCACUGUUGCUCAUUAGUUCCAAAAUCUGCCACCAGGGAUAACUUCCUGUCUGAAGUCUGAAUAACUAACGUCUGAAGAACGGUUUCGGCCCGAAACGUUGCCUAUUUCCUUCGCUCCAUAGAUGCUGCCUCACCCGCUGAGUUUCUCCAGCACUUUUUUCUACCAGGGAUAACGUUAUCCCAGCAUCUACCCUUCAAAAUCACCAUUUCAUUUUUUGAAUCUGCAGCAAGCUCCUCCCCAGCUAUUGUGUGCAGUUCUGGUCGCCCCAUUACAGGAAAGAUGAGGAGCUUUGGAGAGGGUGACGGAGAGAUUCACCAGAAUGUUGCCUGGAUUAGAGGCAAUGAGGUCCAAGGAGAAAUUGAACAAGCCAAGAUUGUUUUCUCCAGAAUGACGAAUAUUAAGGAUUGAUCUGAUAGAAAUUUACAAAAUUAUGAAAGGUUUGGAUAGGGUAGACAAUCAGAGUCUUUUCCCAAAGGUGGAAAUAUCAAAUACUAGAUUGGAAAUCAAACAUUGAGACAACAACCCAAGGGCUAGAUCCUGGUAGAGUUGGUGUGAAAGUGGGGGAUGUAGGAUUAGUGUUAGUGGGUGGUUGUUGACCAGGCAGACCUAUGCUCAAGGGAUUUGUUAAGACGCUGAGUGACUCUGUGAACUCCAGGAAACAAACAGGUUUUACCUCACAAUUUAUAGUAACCAGAAUACACCAACUAGUUGAGUUACUGUACAUCAGGUGGAAACAGAUAAACUAUGGAAAUAAAGCAUAACGUUGCAACCAGUUUCCGAGCUGGUCAGGGACAGUUCAGACACGAUGGGCCGAACUGCCUUCGUCCCUGCAGCAACUUCCCCCUGCAUUUCAAGGGAGUGUCACCCUCAUUUCAGGCUGAUUUACAUCAGCUUGGUGCGCAAUGUUUGAGCA